CUUAGCUGCCUAUAAAGCUGUAACAGUUUUGCUCAUGCCCUCUGAGUGGGAAAUACAGCUAGUUUCUUCUGUAGUGUGCAUGUGGGAGCCCUGACCUCACUAACAGACUUGACCUCUGGAGAUGGAAAGUAGCUUCAACACAGAUCUGCCUACAGUUAAGCCUGGAAACUUAACCUCAAGCAUGAACAGAUGCGGUGCAAUAUUUAAGGAGCUGGAUGAUUUUUUUUUUUCCUCUCGUCACUCCAACUUUUUAUCUGAUUAUUUUCAUCUGCCAAUGGGCUGAGUUCACCAUCCCAGGGCUUUCUAGCAUCUUUCCUUGGACACUUAAUUCUUAGCCCAGCAGCCACAAGGCAUUAAUUUCUACGCAACAUCAUCCAUAUUUUAUCAAUCCAAGAAAGGUAGCAACACCAAAGCUGAAUCAGACGAACACUCAGGAUGAGAUGGCUGCUGCUGAUGUCUCUCUCUAGGUCAUUACCUCUCUUCCAACUGCAAAUGCUGCAUGAUACUAAGCUUACAGGUAAUAGAACACCAGGAGGCCUGUGUUAUUCUGCACAUUUAAAGGAUACCUAUGACUUUCUGCAUGUUUAACUAUUAUUUACUAGAUUGUUUUUAUUGUUAUAUUCAUACCUCUAUUCUGGGCACAGCUUAAUUUCAGUGUAUUAAAGUAUCAAGCAUUUGUAGUGUAAAGAGCAGGCUUAGCGACAACUCUAAUCCAAAUUUCACAGCAGAUAUUUGACAGAUCUUUCAUGAGAUAUGCUCUGGUAGUGUAUUGCCAUGCAAUGAUUUCUAAAAAUUAAAAUGAUUUAAUUUUAGUGAAAAGCAUCACCGUACCUUACAAAUCACAACUAACUCAAACAUUUUAAAACUAUUUUUUAAAGACGUCAAUAGUACAGUAAUUCACUGCUUAGCUCCAGACAUUUGGUAGAUUUUUAGUUAUCUACCUUAGAUGUACAAGAAAACAACCUAUUUGAAACCUAGAAUGUGCACGCUGUAAUUCUAAUGCUGCAUUGCUGUUUCUCCUUGUAGUACUGUGCUAGCUACUGCCACACUCUGAUUUGCUCUCUGUCAGCUGCACUAGCUUUUUGUCAUGGGCUGCAGAAAUUUUUACUUCCACUGCUCUCCCCUUUUCUCUGGACUAUUAAAUUUACUAAUUUUUAAGCUUAUUUCAAAUUAGCGUUUCUAACACUGGAAAGGCAAAGUCUACUAUAACUGACACCAACUUUAUUUUUUUUAAACAUCUACUAACUAUAAAUUAGACAGUCAAUCUACUUCUGUCAGCUCUUUAAAAGUCACAUCCUGCCAGCACACUGAAUGUUUACUGGUAACUAAAAGCUGAUUGUGUACCUCGGAACCACAUAACAAAAUGGGAAGAAAGGGGAUAAAAUUCAAUUUAAACAGAUGAACAUUUAUCAUUUUUGUAAACUGGCACAGAUAUUGCAAGCCUGAAAAAGAUUUUGCGACUGAAGCAGGUGAGCGACUACACAAACUCAAAAAACCUAUUUUAGAAGUGCUGAAUAAGCAUUGGCUCUCACAUAUGUAUGACCUAUGGCCCGCUAAAAGCCCAAUCCUGCCACAAUCAUUUUUUUUAAAAUUCGGUUUCAUCAUCUUUUCAAUUAGCAGGAUCAUCAGCACUGUGGGAGUUUGGUUUUUCUCUGUUUUGUUUUUUGUUCUAAGUCUGGAUCUGCAGUAAAGAGAGAUAUUAGACCUGGGGGGAAGUGGACAGGAUUUUCUGAGUCGGGGAAAGGGGUGAAGGUUAUUUCCUUCCAUCAUAUUAGAUGAGUUUAUACUUCCCUUCAGGAUACUAAAUGCAAUCUGUAUACCAGCAUGGAAAUCUGGCAGAAGACUCAAAGAAAACUGAAGUUCUUAUGGUGGACUACAAUUAUCCAUUCCAGGAAAGUACUUUGCAAAGCCACCCAUCAAUGACAUCUCUACCUUCAAAACUGGCUAACCAGAAUGAACACCAAGAAACAACAAAAAUCUGGAUACGUGCUUCAAAUGUCCAUGUCAUCACGGAACAUGGAACCGUAAUACACUUUAAGUCACUUUGCAGGUAAAUUGCAUUGUAAAAGUUCAGUCUUAGAGAAAAAGGUUAGCUUAUUACAAGUUUAUUAUAAGAUUGUUCUUUCAAAGAAAUGACAACAUGCAUUCUGCAUCUUCUAACAAGGAAAGGAACGAAAAAGCAAAAUACUUUCAGAUUCACUUGACAGAUAGCUGAGCAACUAUAUGUAUUCCUGCCCAGAGUACAUACUUCUUUAUGUACCCAUAUGAACAUACAAUGCUAUGGAAUGUAAAGAAGUAUGUAUUUUUGGCAGGCACUGAACGACCAGUAAGAGGAAACUAAACUGCAGCUGGAAGAAACAGGUCUCCUAUUGUUUGAAUGACUUUCAUGUGGCAAAUUAACAAAUUAACUUGGUAAGGGUCAAAUGACGCUACUGCCAAAGUAAAAUCACUUACUGCUUAUGAAUCUUGAAACAUUAUCCCAAGUCACUUAUUCAGAGGGUGGGUAGAGAAAGUUCUGUUAUUUGUUGUAGAUAAGUUAUGAACAAAACUUCAGGGUUUUUGUUUAUAAAUUCAAAAUUAGUUUGGAAAUGCAAAUAGUCACACUAGAACGCUCUGGAUGAAAUAUAUAGCCUAUUUACAAAACUGAUUAUCAGUCCUAUUCAGAAUAAUUUUUCACCCUAACUUUAUUCAACUAAAGUAGACUUUUUUUAAAGAUUAUCUAAAGAAAUGAGGAAUAUGAUUUUAAAAAAUCUUAAACCUGCAGACCAUGCUCUGAUUCCAAAAUUAAGUUUGCCUAAUAAUCCGUAGACACUGAGUCUAGUAAUAAUUAACACUGUUAUAAGAAACUGCUUGUCAGUUGGUCUCUGAUUUAGCAAACAGAAGAGAAAAAUGUUUUCAAAAUAAUUUUAAAUUACCAUAUACAAAUUCUAAUAUUUUAGAGACAUAAGUUUGGGGUUUCUCCAAAUCAACCAUUACUAAACUCACAGAGCUUGGAUGGAAUAAACUGCAGUGUCAAGUUCAUGCAUGUAAAGUGACAAUGCAGAGAUUUCUAGGCCACAGCUACCAGUCAGAGGAUUAAGGCUAGUGACAGAUUCCAAAAUAAAAACACAGGAAUGACAGAACACAGGAUUCCUACAUUAUUCUGAAAAAUGUAGUCUAAUUUGAACAAAACUGGCUAAGCAAUUCUGAAUUACAUAUGAAAUUAUCAAAUUUAUACUGCUGCUCCUUCAAUUCUUCACCUAAAAUUUCAGUUUUAAAUUAUGAAACCCCUAGUUUGGUAAGCUGUAAUUAUAAAAACUAUAUGGAAAACAAGAGAAAGAUGAAGCUGUCAACAGAAGCAUGACAUUUAUUUCUAAAAUUAAUGUUAACUAAAACACAUCAACAUAAUCACUCAACACAAAGAAAUUUUUAAGUAACGAAUGACUUGCGCUGCACUUACUCAUCUAUGUAUAGAUAUUACGGGAGACGACGAACAGCAAUGCCUGCAUAUUAGAAAUGCUUGUCGUAAAAGGCACAAUUGGCCCAGAUUAAAGAAUAAAGAUUCUGAGUCCGCUCACUUUUUUAUUUUAAUAUUUUUAAAUUCUGGGAUCAUUUUUUGUGUCAGGAAAAGAAAAUCACAAAUGUAAGAGACCCAAAGGAUAAUUAUGCCUUCAAAAAUAUUAGUUUAUUGGAUGUGUGCCGUUUUUCAAAGGAGACGUAUUUUAACCACUACAAAAUACCAAAAAUUAUUAGAUAUCACCAGCUAUUUCUUUUUAAAAAGGAUUUAGCCAGAACUAUAGAAUUACACUUAUAUAAAAAGGAAUCAAACUAACGUAACUGUAUUCAUAAGGUAAUUUUUAAUAAAUUGGUCUGAGUUAUUUUCCACAUGAUAAAAUACCUUGGAAUGCAGUCUGUAUAGAAUACUAACCUUCAAAUUACAGGCUGUUUUAUAAUGGAAAAAAGCUAAACUAUUAGCAACUCUACUGGGUUUCAUAAUGCUGUUUAGCUUUUAGGUUCGUAACUGACAGAUUUGCAGACUGAGAGCCCAAUUCACUAUGGGAGUAAGUGGACACAACUUCAUUUACUUCUCUGAAGCUUUCCUUAUUGUGCCAGCACUUGAUAUGUAGGUUUCAAUCUACAUAUCUGACUAUCUUUACUAAAGAUGAAACUUAUUGUGACAGGUUCUUUAUAACGAGCCACUGAUGCUGAAUCCUCUCUUGCUAUGCCAUAAUAAGACAGCAAUUCUACUAUGAAACAAAAUGACAGUUCUCAGAGAGAUAUAAAAGUUAAAAUUACAUAUUGACAUUGCUUCUUGCUAGCUCAUGUUGACAUAUCUCUAAGAAUAUACUCAGUCACUCUAAAAUGUCACAUCCAUCACUUAGAUCAGCUGUUCAAUUUUAACUGAGCACAUGCUGAACUCUGGGCAUCUGCUGACACUGUUGUAACUCAAAUAUUUCAACUGUGUGACUGACAGGGAUAACAGAUGCUGACAUUAUCAAAUGCUACACUGCUGUUUUCCAUGGCCACUAUUUUUGCCCCGAUAUGGCCAGUACAUGAAACUGUAUUGCCAUCCAAAAGCAUACUUGAGCAGCUGGAUCUGUAAAACAGCUCCUGUUUAACUGGUAAAAAUAGAAGCCACUUUUAUAGCUGUCUUUAAUGCUUAAGUUCAAAUGACACACCUGCUAUGUUUCUAUUAGGAUAGAUGGUGUAAAAAAUAUAUUUACAUAAAUUUCAUCACUAGAUCUCACAACAAACAGAUGAAGACUACACUUGACAGGAGCAUUAUUAGUGCAUGGUUUGAACUAAUGUCUCCCUGGCAAAGCUUAAAACCCCCCCACAGGUUUUCAAAUGCAGUAUGUGUCUGUUUAGUGUAUCUACUUCAGUUUACCAGCACAAAUUACCUUUAAGAAAAUGCAUGAAAUAUAGCACGUUUAACUCUACUUAUAAAAGAUAUGUAAUGUGUUUAGGAACCUUUCAUCUAAAAGGGCUUUAGAUAAAGAAAAUUCCAGAUUGAUAACAUCAGGUGUUUGUACAGAAAGAGAAAGCACGUGUAAACAGAAAAAAAUUCCCUUGUAAAGCAGCAGAAAGAUUGGGGGGGGGGGAAGUGUUGCUUUCUCUAGUGCACUUUAAUUUAAUGAGCAAAAGGAAUAAAUGUAAGUGGCCCUAAACAUAAAUCCAAACAUUACUCCAGAAUUAAACAAUUAAAAGGAAAAAGGUUUAAUACUGCAAUUUUACUUUGACACGAGACUAGUUUAUAGUUACAAAUUGUGCCUACAAAGAUGCUAAGAGAGAGAACAAACUGGUAUACUGUAUAAGCAUUCUAGGAUAAAUGUUUUCUUCCUGCCCUCCCUCCAAAAAUGAAUUAAGUUACAUCUUCAAUUACUUUAAAAAUUAAAAGCGAAGUGUCAAUAAGUGUAACAUUUAUAGCUGAAAAAAUGUGUGUACUUUUAAAAUUGCACUUGUACAGUAAAAAAAACAACUCAGCUGUUUUGUUAUAAAAAGUUACAGCCUUCCUGCACUCCAAUGCUUUGCUAAAGCUGGUAAAAUGGAACCAAAUCACCUCUUCAAUGGAUUUGGUCCCCUUCAACCAGCUGUAGCUAUGCAUUGAUCACUACAGGACAUCAAAUAUUUUCAAUAAUGGAUUUAACACUUGUAUAAUGGCAACUUUGAACAUGCUUCAACUAUUCUGGACAGAUUAAAUGCACACUGUCAACAGAAGGAAACAAAUGUGAAAGUAUGGUAUUCAGUUAUACUUCAGGAUGUCCUAAAGGCUGUAUUUCGAGAUAAACAAUUACUUGUGGAAUUACUUGUUUCACUUUCUGUUCUUAUUUAGUAAAAAAAAUGGUCCAAUGUUAAUUUCUAUAACAAAAAAAAUUAGGCAUUCAAAUAAAUGGAUUGUUCAGUCA